AACCAAUCGCAGUCUGUUCUCUAUCAUAGAAGUUUUUAUUUAAAAAACACGCAUUCAAACGCUGUAUAGUCGCUAACAGAGACCACAAGCAUCUGGAACCUCAUAGGCGGGAAUAAACAAUGUAACGCCGACAACUGCAGUUUAAUAACUAUAACAGAAGUUGUCAAAAAUCUUUAAAGGGAAUGUCAAUAAAAGAAUCGUAUUGAGUAUAUAGCAGAAACAUCUGUCAGUUACAACGCCUACGGAGAUUUGUUCAAAAAAAAAAAAAAAAAAAAAGUAAAAACGUUUAAAGAAACAAGGCGAACGAGAAGAUGGUUUCCACAACAUAUAUUGAUGUAAUUAGCAAUACACAUGAGAAUUCCACACUCCAAUAUAAAAUACUUCUACUUAUUAAAUACUUAUUUUUAAAA